UAUGUUGGCCGGGCGACGGUUGUCCCGGUUUAAGCGUGUAGGUGUGUGUUCCAGGUAAAUCCGGUUCACUUUAACACUGAGGCGUGACGACGAGGCACUACGGUGCUGAAGCAACAAAUGCCCUGCUUCCAGGAAAAGCCUCUAAGCAUCAGGUAACAUCAAAUCGUACCCCAAACCGACACAGGUGGUCAGGUAGAGAAUACCAAGGCGCUUGAGAGAACUCGGGUGAAGGAACUAGGCAAAAUGGUGCCGUAACUUCGGGAGAAGGCACGCUGACACGUAGGUGAAGUGAUUUACUCAUGGAGCUGAAGUCAGUCGAAGAUACCAGCUGGCUGCAACUGUUUAUUAAAAACACAGCACUGUGCAAACACGAAAGUGGACGUAUACGGUGUGACGCCUGCCCGGUGCCGGAAGGUUAAUUGAUGGGGUCAGCGCAAGCGAAGCUCCUGAUCGAAGCCCCGGUAAACGGCGGCCGUAACUAUAACGGUCCUAAGGUAGCGAAAUUCCUUGUCGGGUAAGUUCCGACCUGCACGAAUGGCGUAAUGAUGGCCAGGCUGUCUCCACCCGAGACUCAGUGAAAUUGAACUCGCUGUGAAGAUGCAGUGUACCCGCGGCAAGACGGAAAGACCCCGUGAACCUUUACUAUAGCUUGACACUGAACAUUGAGCCUUGAUGUGUAGGAUAGGUGGGAGGCUUUGAAGUGUGGACGCCAGUCUGCAUGGAGCCGACCUUGAAAUACCACCCUUUAAUGUUUGAUGUUCUAACGUGGACCCGUUACCCGGGUUGCGGACAGUGUCUGGUGGGUAGUUUGACUGGGGCGGUCUCCUCCUAAAGAGUAACGGAGGAGCACGAAGGUUGGCUAAUCCUGGUCGGACAUCAGGAGGUUAGUGCAAUGGCAUAAGCCAGCUUGACUGCGAGCGUGACGGCGCGAGCAGGUGCGAAAGCAGGUCAUAGUGAUCCGGUGGUUCUGAAUGGAAGGGCCAUCGCUCAACGGAUAAAAGGUACUCCGGGGAUAACAGGCUGAUACCGCCCAAGAGUUCAUAUCGACGGCGGUGUUUGGCACCUCGAUGUCGGCUCAUCACAUCCUGGGGCUGAAGUAGGUCCCAAGGGUAUGGCUGUUCGCCAUUUAAAGUGGUACGCGAGCUGGGUUUAGAACGUCGUGAGACAGUUCGGUCCCUAUCUGCCGUGGGCGCUGGAGAACUGAGGGGGGCUGCUCCUAGUACGAGAGGACCGGAGUGGACGCAUCACUGGUGUUCGGGUUGUCAUGCCAAUGGCACUGCCCGGUAGCUAAAUGCGGAAGAGAUAAGUGCUGAAAGCAUCUAAGCACGAAACUUGCCCCGAGAUGAGUUCUCCCUGAGACUUUAGGUCUCCUGAAGGAACGUUGAAGACGACGACGUUGAUAGGCCGGGUGUGUAAGCGCAGCGAUGCGUUGAGCUAACCGGUACUAAUGAACCGUGAGGCUUAACCUUACAACGCCGAAGAUGUUUUGGCGGAUGAGAGACGAUUUUCAGCACUGAUUCNNNNNNNNNNNNNNNNNNNNGGAUGAGAGACGAUUUUCAGCACUGAUUCAGAUUACAUCAGAACGUAAAAACGGUCUGAUAACAGAAUUUGCCUGGCGGCAGUAGCGCGGUGGUCCCACCU
rnacentral:rRNA from 1 species